UUGAGUGAGGUAAUUAGAGAAUGAAUGCAGAUAAUGAAUAAAGAAUGAUAUGAUGAGUUGUUGUGAGUGUAGGAGUAAGAUGUAGUGGAUGGAGAGUGAGAAUGAGAAGGAAAAAAUAACAGUGAGAAGUGCUUCAAAGCAAGGAUAUAUGAGUGGCGGUGAGAACACUUUUCCUUGAAGAUGUAGAUAUGUGGAUUGUUGUAAGUAGUUGCACACCUUUUUCUUUAUGCAUACAAUUACUUUAAUUUGAUAAUCCUUUGUGGAGGCCCAUGCUUUUGCUUUGGUCCUCCUCGUUAUUUUCAGUGCUUCCUCCUUUUCCUCAGUGAGAGCCUGUAAAAGUCUCAGCUCUAAGCAAUCUCUUGUCACUCAUUCCUCUUUCUCAUAAAGCUACACUACAGCCUCAGAACAAGACAACUUCCAUCCCUCCAAAAUCCCACCACCCUUUUCAUUAUUCUAUUCUUAUAAUGACCUGUCUUUCAUCUUUAUUAUUUACUCACCUCUUUCUUUAUUUUAACUCUCUCUCUCCCUCUCUCUUCUUCCCUUCUACUUCCCUUCUCUGUCCCCUCUUUUCCAUUUAUUAUUUAGUGCUGUACUGAUUGGGAACUUGAGUGCUUGCAGGCCUUUCUUUGCUUCUUGAACCUUGACAAAGCUUCAUAGCUAGACACACACAACAUCCACCCUGCUAUAGGAAUUCAUCACACUCACUCAUAAAGCUAUAUAUAUAGGUCAUAUGCAAGAUGGUUGGAAGAACCAACCUAACUUCUAUCUCUCAAUAUAUAUCUUCAAUUUCUUUUUUAUUACCUUUCUUCUCUUAUAUACACCAUUCCUUGUGAGGCCUGCUAUUUCAAUUUCUUGAGCUUGCUAAUGAUCCUGUGAGAAACGACUCGUUAUUGAAGAAGGAAAGGAGGGUGUCUGGAAUGAAGUUUGAUCCGAAAUCAUUGUCUCAGUUUCAUCUUUAGCUUUGCCUGAUGUGUGUGUGUGUGUGUGAGAGAGAGAGAAAGAGAGAGGGAGAGAGAGAGAGAGAUUUUUCAUCUGUGAUGGAAAGGGGGUGUUUGGAAUGAAGUUUGAUCCAAGAUCAUCACAUAUAUCUUCAAUUUCCCUUGUGUUUGCUUCUUGAUUUAUCUUCAUAAAUUUGUUUAUCAUCACUUCAUGCAUGGGAUGGGACUGAUCUCGGACCAGGCUUCAUUCUUCACACCUACCUUUCCUUGUAGAAGCAAUCAACCACAACAAGACAAAGGAAAUGUCAGGAAGUUGAAUGCAUGCUUGAUAUGGAUAAAUUGAUAUUUUACUGACUUCUAUGAUAUUGUUUUUGUUAAUUUGGUAUGUAUGGAACAACAUUAAAACUUGUUCUUUAAGCGCGUGGUAAAAGCUAUAUGCCACGUGACAAAGAACUAUAUCAUUGCAAAGUUAUGGCGUGAUGUGAGUUAAAAACUGAAGUCACUUUUAACCUACACCACAUGAAAUUGUGAUGUACACAGUUAUUGAAUAGCUUAUGGUUGAACUUAACUUAUCUUCCUUUUUCUACUUUUAUCUACCUGUUUCUUUUCUCUUACUUUCUAUUUGUGUGUAUGAAAGCAUAUUUUUCUUUCUUUUUCUCAUAGCAAACUUUAAUUUAUAGAUUUUUCGUGUUAGAAAUAAUAUCCGAAUAAAAUUACUUUGUAUGUUAUUAUCAUGUAAAUUAUUGGCUAAGGUUGAUACAUAUGUUUGGAUGCGAAACUAGUAAGUUUUAAUAGAAUGCAUUCUA